UACGUAGGGUGCGAGCGUUGUCCGGAAUUAUUGGGCGUAAAGAGCUCGUAGGCGGUCUGUCGCGUCUGCUGUGAAAACCCGAGGCUCAACCUCGGGCCUGCAGUGGGUACGGGCAGACUAGAGUGCGGUAGGGGAGAAUGGAAUUCCUGGUGUAGCGGUGGAAUGCGCAGAUAUCAGGAGGAACACCGAUGGCGAAGGCAGUUCUCUGGGCCGUAACUGACGCUGAGGAGCGAAAGCUAGGGGAGCAAACGGG
rnacentral:rRNA from 1 species